GCCGCUGUGGUGGAAUGGUAGACACGGGGGACUUAAAAUCCCCUGCCCUGUAACCGGGCGUGUAGGUUCAAAUCCUGCCAGCGGCA
rnacentral:tRNA from 1 species